rnacentral:lncRNA from 1 species
UUUGAUGGAUGUGAGUUAAUCUAAAUUUUAGGGUUAAUUUAAUGAAAGUCAAUUGCUAAUAUUUUUAGCUUGUUGUGAAUCUUCAUCAAAUCAACUCUGAAAUCGGAAUUAAACACUAAAAUGUUUAUCUUCAAGUACCAAAAUCAAAGGUUAACUUUUCGACGUAGAAACCAAAGAGACGAGGAUCACAAGUUACAUGGAACCAAAGAAGAAAAAGGUUUGAACGUCAUUAGGACUGUCUCUUGCGAUCAUAAACGGAUGAGGUGUAGGCUGCUUUGGAGGGUCGAGCAUUGUAAGGGAUAACAAUAAUAUAAUAUGAUCAUGAUACGUAGCAGCCUUCAAGCCAAAUCACAAUUUCUUCUUCUUCUUCAUCUAAUCUCGAUUUAUAUGUGUAAGUAAGGUAUUCAAGGAGAAGAAAUGGAGCAAUAUUGUUGAAGGAAAAUGAAGGGCGAAGUGAAAAAUUAUCCCAAUAUUCUAUGAUAUUUAGAUUUUGUCGCUGUCAGAGCGAGACAAGACAAGAAACAAAGGAGUGGAGGAGAAAAGGUGCUGAUAUGGAUUUCUUCUUUAAUUGGCCGUAAUCAUAUUUGUUGUUUGUCUGGUUUUGGAAUUGAUUUAUGAAAUAAAAUAAAAACUCAAUUCAAUAAUAAUUUAUGGUUAAUUUUACUAUUUAGGAG